AUAUCGACAGGGCCGACGCAGGUGAAAGUAUAGUAUCUCUUCCUAUCAGCUUAAUAUCUGAUACGAGUUCUAUAUGGACCGAAUAUAUUAAGCUUAUUGUACCUAACUGGCUCAGUGCUUGAAGCCUGCAUCGCCUCCGCCGCAGAUCGGCCCCGUAUUUCACUGUCUCCGGGAUCGGCCCACGGUUU